CUUUAAAUAAGCUAAAUUAAGCUGUUGGGCUCAUAACCCAAACAUGGUAACUCCUUUAAAGA
rnacentral:tRNA from 1 species